CUAUGUAGCAAGGUUAAGUACUUAAGGUAUGGAGCCGAAGGGAAACCGAGUCUGAAAAGGGCGAAAAGUUGCAUGGUGUAGACCCGAAACCGGGUGACCUAUCCAUGGCCAGGUUGAAGCGAGAGUAAAAUCUCGUGGAGGACCGAACCACGUUGGUGUUGAAAAACCAUGGGAUGAGCUGUGGAUAGCGGAGAAAUUCCAAUCGAACUCGGAGAUAGCUGGUUCUCCUCGAAAUAGCUUUAGGGCUAGCGUCGUGUAAUUGAGUAAUGGAGGUAGAGCACUGAAUGGGCUAGGGGCUAUAGUAGUUACCGAACCCUAUCAAACUCCGAAUGCCAUAUACUUGUAUCACGGCAGUCAGACUGCGAAUGAUAAGAUCCGUAGUCAAAAGGGAAACAGCCCAGACCAUCAGCUAAGGUCCCAAAGUGUAAGUUAAGUGGAAAAGGAUGUGGGAUUUCUAAGACAACUAGGAUGUUGGCUUAGAAGCAGCCACUCAUUUAAAGAGUGCGUAAUAGCUCACUAGUCAAGAGAUCCUGCGCCGAAGAUGUCCGGGGCUCAAACUUACCACCGAAGCUAUGGGUGUACACUAUGUGUACGCGGUAGAGGAGCUUUCUGUAUGGGUUGAAGUCGUACCGUAAGGAGCGGUGGACUGUACAGAAGUGAGAAUGCUGGCAUAAGUAGCGAGAAAUAAGUGAGAAUCUUAUUGGCCGAAAACCUAAGGUUUCCUGAGGAAGGUUCGUCCGCUCAGGGUUAGUCGGGACCUAAGCCGAGGCCGAAAGGCGUAGGUGAUGGACAAUCGGUUGAUAUUCCGAUACCACCUAUUUACGUUUGAGAAAUGGGGUGACGCAGUAGGAUAAGAUGUGCGCACUAUUGGAUGUGCGUCUAAGCACUUAGGCAUGCUUGAUAGGCAAAUCCGUCGAGCUAAGCUGAGGUGUGAUGGGGAGCCAUUUAUGGCGAAGUAUCUGAUUCCACACUGCCAAGAAAAGCCUCUAUCGAGUGAAUAGGUGCCCGUACCGCAAACCGACACAGGUAGGUGAGGAGAGAAUCCUAAGGCCAUCGGAAGAAUUGCUGUUAAGGAACUCGGCAAAUUGACCCCGUAACUUCGGGAGAAGGGGUGCCUACGAAAGUAGGCCGCAGAGAAUAGGCCCAAGCAACUGUUUAGCAAAAACACAGGUCUCUGCUAAAGCGAAAGCUGAUGUAUAGGGGCUGACGCCUGCCCGGUGCUGGAAGGUUAAGGGGAACACUUAGCGUAAGCGAAGGUGUGAACUUAAGCCCCAGUAAACGGCGGCCGUAACUAUAACGGUCCUAAGGUAGCGAAAUUCCUUGUCGGGUAAGUUCCGACCCGCACGAAUGGCGUAAUGAUUUGGGCACUGUCUCAACAGCAAAUCCGGCGAAAUUGUAGUGCAAGUGAAGAUGCUUGCUACCCGCGAUUGGACGGAAAGACCCCGUAGAGCUUUACUGUAGCUUAGCAUUGAAUCUCGGUAUUGUCUGUACAGGAUAGGUGGGAGACUUGGAAACUUGGGCGUCAGCCUGAGUGGAGUCAUCCUUGGGAUACCACCCUGACAGUACUGGGGUUCUAACCGGCGGCCAUGAAUCUGGUCACGGGACAUUGUUAGGUGGGCAGUUUGACUGGGGCGGUCGCCUCCUAAAAAGUAACGGAGGCGCCCAAAAGUUCCCUCAGCGCGGUCGGAAAUCGCGCGAAGAGUGCAAAGGCAGAAGGGAGCUUGACUGCGACACAUACAGGUGGAGCAGGGACGAAAGUCGGGCUUAGUGAUCCGGUGGUACCUCGUGGGAGGGCCAUCGCUCAACGGAUAAAAGCUACCUCGGGGAUAACAGGCUGAUCUCCCCCAAGAGUCCACAUCGACGGGGAGGUUUGGCACCUCGAUGUCGGCUCGUCGCAUCCUGGGGCUGAAGUAGGUCCCAAGGGUUGGGCUGUUCGCCCAUUAAAGCGGCACGCGAGCUGGGUUCAGAACGUCGUGAGACAGUUCGGUCCCUAUCCGUCGCGGGCGUAGGAAAUUUGAGAGGAGCUGUCCUUAGUACGAGAGGACCGGGAUGGACCAACCUCUGGUGCACCAGUUGUCACGCCAGUGGCACAGCUGGGUAGCUAUGUUGGGACUGGAUAAACGCUGAAAGCAUCUAAGCGUGAAGCCAACCUCAAGAUGAGAUUUCCCAUAGCGUAAGCUAGUAAGACUCCUGGAAGAACACCAGGUUGAUAGGUCAGAGAUGUAAGCAUGGCAACAUGUUAAGUUGACUGAUACUAAUAAGUCGAGGGCUUGACCAAA
rnacentral:rRNA from 1 species